GUAGAACGCUGAAGAGAGGAGCUUGCUCUUCUUGGAUGAGUUGCGAACGGGUGAGUAACGCGUAGGUAACCUGCCUUGUAGCGGGGGAUAACUAUUGGAAACGAUAGCUAAUACCGCAUAACAAUGGAUGACACAUGUCAUUUAUUUGAAAGGGGCAAUUGCUCCACUACAAGAUGGACCUGCGUUGUAUUAGCUAGUAGGUGAGGUAACGGCUCACCUAGGCGACGAUACAUAGCCGACCUGAGAGGGUGAUCGGCCACACUGGGACUGAGACACGGCCCAGACUCCUACGGGAGGCAGCAGUAGGGAAUCUUCGGCAAUGGGGGCAACCCUGACCGAGCAACGCCGCGUGAGUGAAGAAGGUUUUCGGAUCGUAAAGCUCUGUUGUAAGUCAAGAACGAGUGUGAGAGUGGAAAGUUCACACUGUGACGGUAGCUUACCAGAAAGGGACGGCUAACUACGUGCCAGCAGCCGCGGUAAUACGUAGGUCCCGAGCGUUGUCCGGAUUUAUUGGGCGUAAAGCGAGCGCAGGCGGUUUGAUAAGUCUGAAGUUAAAGGCUGUGGCUCAACCAUAGUUCGCUUUGGAAACUGUCAAACUUGAGUGCAGAAGGGGAGAGUGGAAUUCCAUGUGUAGCGGUGAAAUGCGUAGAUAUAUGGAGGAACACCGGUGGCGAAAGCGGCUCUCUGGUCUGUAACUGACGCUGAGGCUCGAAAGCGUGGGGAGCGAACAGGAUUAGAUACCCUGGUAGUCCACGCCGUAAACGAUGAGUGCUAGGUGUUGGAUCCUUUCCGGGAUUCAGUGCCGCAGCUAACGCAUUAAGCACUCCGCCUGGGGAGUACGACCGCAAGGUUGAAACUCAAAGGAAUUGACGGGGGCCCGCACAAGCGGUGGAGCAUGUGGUUUAAUUCGAAGCAACGCGAAGAACCUUACCAGGUCUUGACAUCCCGAUGCUAUUUCUAGAGAUAGAAAGUUACUUCGGUACAUCGGUGACAGGUGGUGCAUGGUUGUCGUCAGCUCGUGUCGUGAGAUGUUGGGUUAAGUCCCGCAACGAGCGCAACCCCUAUUGUUAGUUGCCAUCAUUCAGUUGGGCACUCUAGCGAGACUGCCGGUAAUAAACCGGAGGAAGGUGGGGAUGACGUCAAAUCAUCAUGCCCCUUAUGACCUGGGCUACACACGUGCUACAAUGGUUGGUACAACGAGUUGCGAGUCGGUGACGGCAAGCUAAUCUCUUAAAGCCAAUCUCAGUUCGGAUUGUAGGCUGCAACUCGCCUACAUGAAGUCGGAAUCGCUAGUAAUCGCGGAUCAGCACGCCGCGGUGAAUACGUUCCCGGGCCUUGUACACACCGCCCGUC
rnacentral:rRNA from 1 species